GUACACGCUGUGACUAGCAUAUCAAUAAGCGGAGGAAAAGAAACUAACAAGGAUUCCCCUAGUAACGGCGAGUGAAGCGGGAAGAGCUCAAAUUUGAAAUCUUAAAGGGUUUCCCUUUACGAAUUGUAGUUUAAAGAAGUGUUUUCUGUUGAGGUUUUGGUAAAAGUUCUUUGGAAUAGGACAUCAUAGAGGGUGAGAAUCCCGUAUUUGACCUUUACUUUCAACUUUGUGAUACACUUUCAAAGAGUCGGAUUGUUUGGGAAUGCAGUCCAAAAUGGGUGGUAAAUUUCAUCUAAAGCUAAAUAUUGGCGAGAGACCGAUAGCGAACAAGUACCGUGAGGGAAAGAUGAAAAGAACUUUGAAAAGAGAGCUAAACAGUACGUGAAAUUGUCAAAAGGGAAGCGUUUGACACCAGUGUUGUUUUUCUGAAAAUCAAUUAAAGAACUGUUUAUGCUAAGCUGUUUAGACUUUAUCAGCUAUCUGUUUAGUUUUGAGCUUUUCUUUAAUGCACUUUUCAGUUAACAAGUCAACAUCAAUUUCUUUUGCUGUAAAAAAGCUUGAGGAAGGUGGCUUGAGAUUCGUCUUAGGUGUUUAUAGCCUCUUGCCUAUGCAGUCGGAGAGAUUGAGGUCUGCAGCGUAGAUCCUUCGGGGCUAAAUGCAUUUGUGCUAAGUUAUAGCAUUUUAUAGACAACUUGUUGACUAUGAUUUGUCUUGUAGCUUACUCGCUUAUGUUAUUUUACCUACGCUUAGGAUGUUGAAGAUGUAGCACAUCAU
rnacentral:rRNA from 1 species